AGUCGAACGGUAACAGGAAGCAGCUUGCUGCUUCGCUGACGAGUGGCGGACGGGUGAGUAAUGUCUGGGAAGCUGCCUGAUGGAGGGGGAUAACUACUGGAAACGGUAGCUAAUACCGCAUAAUGUCGCAAGACCAAAGAGGGGGACCUUCGGGCCUCUUGCCAUCGGAUGUGCCCAGAUGGGAUUAGCUUGUUGGUGGGGUAACGGCUCACCAAGGCGACGAUCCCUAGCUGGUCUGAGAGGAUGACCAGCCACACUGGAACUGAGACACGGUCCAGACUCCUACGGGAGGCAGCAGUGGGGAAUAUUGCACAAUGGGCGCAAGCCUGAUGCAGCCAUGCCGCGUGUAUGAAGAAGGCCUUCGGGUUGUAAAGUACUUUCAGCGGGGAGGAAGGGAGUAAAGUUAAUACCUUUGCUCAUUGACGUUACCCGCAGAAGAAGCACCGGCUAACUCCGUGCCAGCAGCCGCGGUAAUACGGAGGGUGCAAGCGUUAAUCGGAAUUACUGGGCGUAAAGCGCACGCAGGCGGUUUGUUAAGUCAGAUGUGAAAUCCCCGGGCUCAACCUGGGAACUGCAUCUGAUACUGGCAAGCUUGAGUCUCGUAGAGGGGGGUAGAAUUCCAGGUGUAGCGGUGAAAUGCGUAGAGAUCUGGAGGAAUACCGGUGGCGAAGG
rnacentral:rRNA from 1 species